rnacentral:lncRNA from 1 species
CUCUGUCAUAAUCUGGAAUGAUGAUAUCAAUCAAGUGAAGCAGCUAUCACAGGGUCUGGAACAUAGUACAUCCCAGCCUUCUUGCACAUAGAAACACUACACAGCACUUCAGCUGUAUGUUUGGGGGCCAUUUUAAACAGCAAAAUCAUCAACAGGAAGCAGAAAAUUGUAAAAAUUGUGGCACUAAAUAGACCAUGUAAAGGACACAUGUUUGCAAUAAGAAAGCUGAAACAAGAAGGGGGAGUGUCACCUUAUUUGAUCCAGCUAGAAACGACUCAGAAGCUGUAGGAAUAUUCAGGCACAGACACCAGACCCAGCUUCAUCUCUAACUUGUGGCAAAGGACAGUACAUCCUGGGAUGGGACCCUAUGCUCCCCUAUGCCAUUUAGACAGAGCCUGGGGAGAGUGACUUCCCAGGGUAUCCAUGUUGGAAUCUCUCAUUUGAUUCUUAUUCAAAUUUAGGUUCUGUCAAUAGAAGAUACUAAAGAAAGAAAGCCAGGAGAAGAAAAGGGACUUCUUUCUUCAAGGUCUAAGCUGUUCUAAUAGCAUUAUUCUGGGAAUGGCAUCUUCCACUCCUCCUAGUACAAAGAACCUGCUUCCUCAUACCCCGUCAAGGAACUGCAGCAUCCAGGUGAUGGCCACAGUGGCAGAACCUAGGAAGCCAAGAAGAAACCAGAGAAUGGAGACACAUGGCAGCAAUGGCAAGUCAUCAGACCCAGGAUUUCCCAAAGAACACUGGUCCAGGAAGAUGCUCUGUGAAAAAGUGUUCCCUGGUCGGAGAAAUUUGUGAAACACUUUGCAUAAUACUUAAAAGAAUGUAUGGCACAUCAAAGAUCUUAUAACAGUCUCCGCAGGAAGCAGCUGCAGUCAUUAGCCAUAGGACAGACUAAACACACAAUCUGCAUGGAAGGAGGCCUGGAUCAGCUUGGUCUUUCAGAUCUCUAAUCUCAGGCACAGGAAAGCACCAUCAACAGCACCCUUUGUAUAUAUACAUAAAGGUAACAUAUUUUAUCAUUUAAAGGGAUUUGAGAAAUUGAAGAGGCCCAACUCUUUUUCUGCCUUCUUUGGUUUGAGGCUUAGAUUGCUUAAGGGGCUUGCCCAGGAUCACAUAUCUUGUAAGAGACAGAGCAAGGAUUCAAAGCCAGUGCUGGCUUCUGUGUCUCCAUUCUUUCCAUUCUCCUCCAGUGGCUCUUUUGGGAAGCUGAGGGAGGAACAGCAGCAGAAUUGGGUGGCACCUGCCCAUGCCCAUCAUGC